GGGCGUAAAGAGCUCGUAGGCGGUUUGUCGCGUCUGCUGUGAAAACUGGACGCUCAACUUCCAGCCUGCAGUGGGUACGGGCAGACUAGAGUGCGGUAGGGGAGAACGGAAUUCCUGGUGUAGCGGUGGAAUGCGCAGAUAUCAGGAGGAACACCGAUGGCGAAGGCAGUUCUCUGGGCCGUUACUGACGCUGAGGAGCGAAGGCGUGGGGAGCGAACAGGAUUAGAUACCCUGGUAGUCCACGCCGUAAACGGUGGGUGCUAGCUGUGGGCCACAUUCCACGUGGUCCGUGACGAAGUUAACACAUUAAGCACCCCGCCUGGGGAGUACGGCCGCAAGGCUAAAACUCAAAGGAAUUGACGGGGGCCCGCACAAGCGGCGGAGCAUGCGGAUUAAUUCGAUGCAACGCGAAGAACCUUACCAAGGCUUGACAUAUAGAGGAAAAGUGCAGAAAUGUACUCCCCGUAAGGUCUCUAUACAGGUGGUGCAUGGUUGUCGUCAGCUCGUGUCGUGAGAUGUUGGGUUAAGUCCCGCAACGAGCGCAACCCUCGUCCUAUGUUGCCAGCACGUAAUGGUGGGAACUCAUGGGAUACUGCCGGGGUCAACUCGGAGGAAGGU
rnacentral:rRNA from 1 species